rnacentral:lncRNA from 1 species
CAAAGGAGUAGAAAAGAAAAAAUAAAAAUAAUAAAAACAACACAACCCAACAGUUCCAUGCCCUAAGGAUGGGAGGGGGGAAAUUUUUUUUGGGGGGGAAAAAAAUGGGAAUUUGAGGUUUAUGGGGGAUUUUUCCAACCUCACAUUUUGUGCUCGUGGUGCAUGAUGUGGGAGGGGAAAAUAGGGGAAAAUUGGGGGAAAAAAAUGGGAAUUUGAGGCAGGGAAAAUUUUUUCCAAGCUCACAUUUUGCUCAGGAUUUUGGAGGGGGAAAAUUGGGGGAAAAAAUGGGAAUUUGAGGCAGGGAAAAUUUUUUCCAAUCUCACAUUUUGCUCAGGAUUUUGGAGGGGAAAAUUGGGGGGAAAAAUGGGAAUUUGAGGUUUGGGGAGGGAUUUUUCCAACCUCACAUUUUGUGUUUUGGAGGGGAAAAUUGGGAUGAAAUCGGGAAAUUUGAGGUAGGAAAGGGAAUUUUUCCCACCUCACAUUUUGUGUAUCCUGAGCAAAAUUUCAGAGGUGAAAAUUGGGGUGAAAUCAGGAAACUGGAGGGUUUUCCCACCUCAUAUUUUGUGUUUCCUGAUCACAAUUUUGGAGGGGAAAAUUGGGGUAAAAUUGGGAUGAAAUCAGGAAAUUGGAGGAUUUUCCCACCUCACAUUUUGUGUAUCCCGAGCGCAAUUUCAGAGGGGAAAAUUGGGGUGAAAUCAGGAAAUUUGAGGCAGGAAAAGGGGGGGAUUUUCCCACCUCACAUUUUGCAUUUCCCGAGCACAAUUUCAGAGGUGAAAAUCGGGGUAAAAUCAGGAAAUUUGAGGCAGCAAGGGGGAGUUUUCCCACCUCACGUCUCGUGCA